rnacentral:rRNA from 1 species
UACGGAGGGGGCGAGCGUUAAUCGGAUUUACUGGGCGUAAAGCGCACGUAGGCGGUUUUUAAAGUCAGGUGUGAAAGCCCAUUGCUAAACCGUGGAAAUGCAUUUGAUACUCACAAACUGGAGUCUCGGAGAGGGAGGCGGAAUUCCCGGUGUAGGAGUGAAAUCAGUAGAUAUCGGGAGGAACACCAGUGGCGAAGGCGGGCGCCUGGACGAUGACUGACGCUGAGGCGCGAAAGCGUGGGUAGCAAACAGG